rnacentral:rRNA from 1 species
AACAAACGCUGGCGGCGUGCCUAACACAUGCAAGUCGUACGAGAAAGGGUCCUUCGGGGCCUGAGUAAAGUGGCGCACGGGUGAGUAACGCGUGGAUGAUCUGCCCUUCAGUUGGGAAUAACUCAUCGAAAGGUGGGCUAAUACCGAAUAAUGCUGUGAGACCUCGGUUGAUCAGCCAAAGAGAGCCUCUGCUUGCAAGCCCUCGCUGAAGGAUGAGUCCGCGUACCAUUAGCUAGUUGGUAGGGUAAUGGCCUACCAAGGCGACGAUGGUUAGCUGGUCUGAGAGGAUGAUCAGCCACACUGGAACUGAGACACGGUCCAGACUCCUACGGGAGGCAGCAGUGAGGAAUCUUGCGCAAUGGGGGCAACCCUGACGCAGCAACGCCGCGUGAGUGAGGAAGGUCUUCGGAUCGUAAAGCUCUGUCGGAUGGAAAGAACCGCAUAGGGGUAAACAGCCCCUGUGUCUGACGGUACCAUCAAAGGAAGCACCGGCUAACUCCGUGCCAGCCGCCGCAGUAAAAC